rnacentral:rRNA from 1 species
UACGGAAGGGGCAAGCGUUGUUCGGAAUCAUUGGGCGUAAAGGGCGCGCAGGCGGCUCUGUAUGUCUGCCGUGAAAGCAUACAGCUCAACUGUAUUGUGUCGGUAGAAACUGCAGGACUUGAGGCUGGGAGGGGCUGGUGGAAUUCCCUGUGUAGCGGUGAAAUGCGUAGGGAUGGGGGAGAACACUCGUGGCGAAGGCGGCCAGCUAGACCAGUUCUGACACUGAGGCGCGACAGCGUGGGGAGCAAACAGG